rnacentral:rRNA from 1 species
GGGUGCAGCAGGCGCGAAAACUCUACAAUGCAGGCAACUGCGAUAGGGGAACAUCGAGUGAUACUCAUCUUGGGUGUCUGUCCUCCCGUCUAAAAAACGGGAGUUAGCAAGGGCCGGGCAAGACCGGUGCCAGCCGCCGCGGUAAUACCGGCGGCUCGAGUGGUGGCCGAUAUUAUUGAGUCUAAAGGGUCCGUAGCCGGCUUUGCAAGUCUUUUGGGAAAUCCAGCGGCUUAACCGUUGGUCGUCCGGGAGAUACUACAUUGCUUGGGACUGGGAGAGGUAGGAGGUACUCAGGGGGUAGGAGUGAAAUCCUGUAAUCCUUUGGGGACCACCGGUGGCGAAGGCGUCCUACCAGAACAGGUCCGACGGUGAGGGACGAAAGCUAGGGGCACGAACCGGAUUAGAUACCCGGGUAGUCCUAGCCGUAAACGAUGCUCGCUAGGUGUCACAACAAUCGUGAAUUGUUGUGGUGCCGUAGGGAAGCCGUGAAGCGAGCCACUUGGGAAGUACGACCGCAAGGUUGAAACUUAAAGGAAUUGGCGGGGGAGCAC